rnacentral:misc_RNA from 1 species
AACUUUUGGCAAUGGAUCACGUGGCUCUCGCAUCGAUGAAGAACGCAGCGAAAUGCGAUAAGUAAUGUGAAUUGCAGAAUUCAGUGAAUCAUCGAAUUUUUGAACGCACCUUGCGCUCCCUGGUAUUCCGGGGAGCACGCCUGUUCGAGUGUCGUGAAAUUCUCAAACUGAGAUGCUUUUUUGUUUCUCGGCUUGGUGUUGGGCUUUGCAGUCCCCUUUGAUUGGGAUGGCUGGCCUCAAAAGCAUUAGCUGGCUUUUCAUGUGGCAUUGGUUCUACUCAGCGUGAUAAUGAUCUGACCGCCGAGGACAUCUUUCGAGAUGGCCAAUUCUCAUUUGGGCUGCUUCUAAUCUUGGUCGAGCAGAUUCUGAAUCUGUUCCACUUUUCAACUUUUGACCUCGAAUCAGGUGGGACUACCCGCUGAACUUAAGCAUAUCAAUAAGCGGAGGCU